AUCAAGAAGAAGGAAUGUCGCCCCACCAUCAACACCCAAAGCUGAUAUUCUCGUUAAACUACUUCUU
rnacentral:tRNA from 1 species